rnacentral:rRNA from 1 species
AGCGAACGCUGGCGGCAGGCCUAACACAUGCAAGUCGAACGGAGCCUUCGGGCUUAGUGGCGGACGGGUGAGUAACACGUGGGAACGUACCUUUAGGUUCGGAACAACUCAGGGAAACUUGAGCUAAUACCGGAUAAGCCCUUCGGGGGAAAGAUUUAUCGCCUUUAGAGCGGCCCGCGUUAGAUUAGCUAGUUGGUGAGGUUAAGGCUCACCAAGGCUACGAGCUAUAGCUGGUCUGAGAGGAUGAUCAGCCACACUGGGACUGAGACCCGGCCCAGACUCCUACGGGGGGCAGCAGUGGGGAAUCUUGCGCACUGGGCGAAAGCCUGACGCAGCCAUGCCGCGUGAAUGAUGAAGGUCUUAGGAUUGUAAAAUUCUUUUACCAGGGACGAUAAUGACGGUACCUGGAGAAAAAGCCCCGGCUAACUUCGUGCCAGCAGCCGCGGUAA